rnacentral:rRNA from 1 species
UACGGAGGGUGCGAGCGUUGUCCGGAAUCACUGGGCGUAAAGGGCGCGUAGGCGGCGCGGGCAGUCAACGGUGAAAGCUUGGGGCUCAACCCCGAGUCGGCCGUCGAUACUCCCGGGCUGGAGCACUGUAGAGGCAGGUGGAAUUCCGGGUGUAGCGGUGGAAUGCGUAGAGAUCCGGAAGAACACCGGUGGCGAAGGCGGCCUGCUGGGCAGUAGCUGACGCUGAGGCGCGACAGCGUGGGGAGCAAACGGG